GAUCUGGUAGCUCAGUUGGUAGAGCAUCUCCCUUUUAAGGAGAGGGUCCAGGGUUCGAGCCCCUGCCAGAUCACCA
rnacentral:tRNA from 1 species